rnacentral:rRNA from 1 species
UACGGAGGGUGCAAGCGUUAUCCGGAUUCACUGGGUUUAAAGGGAGCGCAGGCGGAUUUGUAAGUCAGUGGUGAAAUCCUUGAGCUUAACUCGAGAACUGCCAUUGAUACUAUAAGUCUUGAAUAUUGUUGAGGUUUGCGGAAUGGGUCAUGUAGCGGUGAAAUGCAUAGAUAUGACCCGGAACACCUAUUGCGAAGGCAGCAGGCUAAACAAAGAUUGACGCUGAGGCUCGAAAGCGUGGGGAUCAAACAGG